UACAGAGGUCUCAAGCGUUGUUCGGAUUCAUUGGGCGUAAAGGGCGUGCAGGCGGUCAGGUAAGUGGGAUGUGAAAUGCCCCGGCUCACCCGGGGACCGGCAUCUCAUACUGCUUGGCUUGAGUACGGGAGAGGAUGGUGGGAAUUCCUGGUGUAGCGGUGAAAUGCGUAGAUAUCGAGAGGAACACCUGCGGCGAAGGCGGGUUGCUGGGCUGAUGACUGACGCUGAGGCGCGAAAGCCAGGGGAGCGAACGGGG
rnacentral:rRNA from 1 species